AUGCAGUCGCGCCGGCGGCACGCCGCCGCCGCGGUCCUCUCCGUCACGGCGCUCCUCGCCUUCAUCUGCGUCCAAGCCGGCCUCGUUGCAUUCCCGCUGCGCGACACGCGCUCGCGCUCCCUGCUCGUGCCGCCGCGCUGGCUUCCCCUCGGCCUCCGCGCCGUCCGAGCUGGGACAGCCACGCCGGCGGGCGCGGGAACGGAGGCCGUGCUGCUUCCGGGCUGGGAGGUCAUCGUCCUACUCCGUCGACCCGACGCCGCCAGUGCACCCGCCGACGAGAACGUACAAAACGCCACGUGCGUGUUCCGGGGCGGGGCGUCCUCCCCGGCGCGCGCGCUCGGGCCGCUGCCGGCGACCGGCCGCCACGCCUACACCUGCAUCAUGCCCGAGCCAGCGCGGGCUCACCGCCACGACGCGCCGCUCGUGCUCUUCCCCGCCUCCACGGUCGGUAACGCCGGCGACGGCGCCUCAGGCCGCUCACCGGAGAUGCUGAAGUGGAGCGACCGCAUCGUGUACGAGUCCAUCGUGAUCGUCGGCGGCGACGUGCUCGUCUUCGCCAAGGGCGUCAACCGACGGAAAAAAGUCAACCGCGCGGCUGCAGACAUCCGGUGCCUGUACUACCGUGGCGACGCCGGUAACGCCGUGGCCUCGCUGCCGGCCACCACCUCGGCGCAGCAAGUCUUCCGGUGCCCACCUCCACCGGCGACGACUCCGGUCGACCUAGAGCUGCGCGUCACGCUUGCCGUGGUCGGCGAGCAGCCCAUCCCCUCACUGGCGACCUAUGACCCGCCACGCCGUCGGGACUCGCCGCCGAUGUCGUCCCAUGUGACUGAAUCAACGCCGUCGGGGAAGAGGCUGAUUUGCGCCUGCACCAUGGUCCGGGACGUGGCCAAGUUCCUGCGGGAGUGGGUCGUCUACCACGCGGCCGUGGGGGUGGACCGGUUCUACGUCUACGACAACGGGAGCGAGGAUGACCUGGUGGACCAGGUGCGCCACCUCACCUCGGACGGAUUCGAAGUUUUCACUAUGAGCUGGCCCUGGCCAAAAACUCUAGAGGCCGCGCUAUCCCACAGCGCAGCGGUGCAUCGAGAUUCGUGCGAGUGGAUGGUCUUCAUCGACGUCGACGAGUUCCUCUUCUCUCCACACUGGGUUCAUUCGGAGAACCCUACGAAAUCUAUGCUCCAUUCAAUCACAACCGUCGGAGAAGACAUUGGACAGGUGUCCAUGUGGUGCGCGGAUUUUGGCCCCUCGGGCCAAACCGCGCACCCGAAAGAAGGGGUCACCCAAGGCUACACAUGCCGAAGGCAGAUCAUGGAGCGACGCAAGUCAUUGGUCCGGCUCGGCGCGGUAGACCGGUCACUGACUAACUCGGUCCACUACUUCCUGCUUCAGCCAGGGUUUCGAAGCAAAUGGAACACGCGAGUUCGCGUGAACCACUACAAGUACCAAGCUUGGGACGAGUUCAAGGUGAAAUUCCGCCGCCGAGCUUCGACAUACACCGUCGAUUGGACCAACAAGAAGAACCCCCGUUCCAAUGACCGGACCCCGGGUUUAGGGUUUGAGGCAGUCGAGCCGGCUGGUUGGCCACACAGGUUCUGCGAGGUGAAUGACACUCUGCUCCGCGAUGUGACUCGGAGAUGGUACGGCCUUGGAUUUGGAAACAAGCUGGGUAGGCGACGAAUAAUCGGUACAACUCCUGGCUCAUCAUAUAAUGUAUGA
rnacentral:rRNA from 1 species